CCACCUAUCACUCAGAGGUUCCUGGCCAUCAGGGACAUUUCUCUCUCCUCCAGACAGUGAUUCUCCUGGAGUUCAGACUCCCACAUGUUAGGCCAAACAUUACCCAUUUCUCUGAAGUGACUCAGGUUAUGGUGGAUAAGUAAACCUCUACCAUUGCUCGUUUUGGCUGGAAAUUCGAGUUCAGGUGUAUUUUGUGUGGUUGUUUUUGUAGUUUGAACUUAGUGUUGGCUUGGUCCUCUGCUGGCUAGGAGAUGGUGUUCACGGUUGAGGGCCUUGUCCUAUGAACUUCCUCUCUGAGAGAAUGUGAGGGUCUUCAGGCAAGGUUCCCAGGUUCUCCUCCAGGGCCUCAUUGAGCCUGGAGAAUAGUGGAGGAAUGGGAGCACAGGCCUGGAGGAGUAGAAUGAUGAAUUGGAACAGAACCAGAUGCUGGUGAGGCUUUUUCUCAGCUCAGCAUGUCAGGAAGACUUGGUUCUGCAACUCUAAGAAGGUAAUUUUGCAUAAUACAUCACACGAAAAAUCUACCUUCCUAGCCACUCUCAUUAAAUGCACAGUUCACCUCAGUGUGAUAGCUGGGCAGGUCUCCGAUUUCUGUUUUACAGUUGAUAAUAUUAGUACCUAACACUUACCGAGUGUUCCUGGUGUGUCUGAAGCAGUGCAGAAUGCCUUGCAA
rnacentral:lncRNA from 1 species